UAUUAAAAUUUAAUUUAUUGCUACCGUUAAAAGUUGAUAUGGCUGAUAGAAUAACCAAAUAAUGACAUAUGUCGUGCCACGGCCCACGUGUACCUCAUACCAACAUACAAGGAUUAGUUUUUAAUAGUAGAAAGAGAUAAAAUUUUUAACA
rfam:Gossypium arboreum cultivar AKA8401 contig_29724_3, whole genome shotgun sequence.